UACGUAGGGAGCAAGCGUUAUCCGGAUUUACUGGGUGUAAAGGGAGCGCAGGCGGUCUGGCAAGUCUGAUGUGAAAUACCGGGGCUCAACUCCGGGACUGCAUUGGAAACUGUCAGACUGGAGUGUCGGAGAGGUAAUCGGAAUUCCUAGUGUAGCGGUGAAAUGCGUAGAUAUUAGGAAGAACACCAGUGGCGAAGGCGGAUUACUGGACGACAACUGACGGUGAGGCGCGAAAGUGUGGGUAUCAAACAGG
rnacentral:rRNA from 1 species